UACGUAGGGCGCAAGCGUUGUCCGGAAUUAUUGGGCGUAAAGAGCUCGUAGGCGGCUUGUCGCGUCUGUUGUGAAAGCCCCGGGGCUUAACCCCGGGUCUGCAGUGGAUACGGGCAGGCUAGAGGCAGGUAGGGGAGAACGGAAUUCCCGGUGUAGCGGUGAAAUGCGCAGAUAUCGGGAGGAACACCGGUGGCGAAGGCGGUCUCUGGGCAGUAACUGACGCUGAGGAGCGAAAGCGUGGGGAGCGAACAGG
rnacentral:rRNA from 1 species